AACCGCCGUAUACGGAACCGUACGUACGGUGGUGUGGGAGGACGACGGGGUUGAUCCCACCUCCUACCCGAU
rnacentral:ncRNA from 1 species